rnacentral:rRNA from 1 species
GACGAACGCUGGCGGCGUGCUUAACACAUGCAAGUCGAACGAAGUGGCGAACGGGUGAUUAACGCGUAAUAAACCUGCCCUUCCGAGGGGGACAACAGUUGGAAACGACUGCUAAUACCGCAUACUGGAUGAGGGGAUUGCGUCGGAUUAGCUAGUUGGAGGGGUACCGGCCCACCAAGGCGAUGAUCAGUAGCCGGGCUGAGAGGAGGAACGGACACAGUGGGACUGAGAAACGGCUCAGACUCAUACGGUGGGCAGCAGGGGGGAAGCUUCCGCAAUGGACGAAAGUCUGACGGAGCAACGCCGCGGGAGUGAUGACGGCCUUCGGGUUGUAAAGCUCUGUUAAUCGGGACGCGGUACCGGAAUAGAAAGCCACGGCUAACUACGUGCCAGCAGCCGCGGUAAUUC